CUCGUAUCAAUCUCCAGAAGACACAGCGCCGCACCGAAACCCCGAGGCUUCCUCCUCCACCGCCAUUUGGUUCCCCUCCGCUCCCAUCCGCCGCCUCUGCCGAGGUCCGAGGCCUGGCAGGGCGUGGCCGCGUUGUGGGCAGCAAGGAGCGGCGCACGGGCAUGCCCUGCAUCGAGGAGGAGCUCAUGUACUUUCAAAUCGAGGAGGAACACCGCUGUUUUUCUACAUGGUGGCCGCUCCCCUCGAUCCCCUCCAUCGCCUCCGCGGCCGCCGCCGAGGUACGGGAUCGCUGCCAAGCCGAGCCUCUGGCCAUCCACUCCUCAGGCGGACACGAUGGCCUUGAUGCUGCCGGAGUUACCCCCUGACCCAAUCCUUGUGCGGAAGCCAUUGCAGUAUCGACAUCGCUGCUGUCUCAGCAGCUCCAUGCAUGAUUUGGGCACCGAUAAUUCAUGGAAGAGAACCCACAGCAACUGCAGAAGAGAAGAAGUUGGGAUCCGAGAGAUCUGGAGAGCUUAGUGCAAAAGUAAAUCAAGCAAGCCCUUUUCCUCUGAAGAAGUUUAUAUUGAGACGAAUGAAUGCCCUGCUGUCCAAUCACUUGUGACCAAAGAUUGUUGAAGUAGUGUGCUGCAAGCUGACUCCCUUACAGAUGACACUGUACAACCACUUCACGCACACCAAAAAUGUUUUUCUCGGGGAUCCUUCAUACGAGUGUAAUACUGUUGUGGAUCGGAGGAGCUCUGAGGAAGAUUGGCACCUUGAAGUGCCCUUCAACAUGGUUGAAAGGAUAUGAUGUGAAAGGUGCUGAAGGAGGAGAGUCAAUAAGGCCGUGUACGCCGGUAGGCAUCCCAGUUGCAACCACGUUGUGUGCUUCCACUGAAUCACGUUGGUAGUCUCAUCGAAGGUUCAUAAAAUCAUCAGGAUUAAUGAUGUCCAAGCUGGGAGUAUUGGCUUUGUUUUUUCACCUCCGGGAAUUAGAAAUGGAUGAGUACUGGGUAUACAUUGGAUACAUUGUAAUCUGUGGAACUAAAGGAAACCUGCAUGGUAUUCUUGUUGGACUGUUUACAGGAUAGAGGUAUUCCCUGAUGGAAUCUUGUACGCCUUUGGUGAGCCUCACUAGCUAUUCAGUAUCGAAAAAAGGAUGGAAUAUCAAGAUGGACGCCCAUAUUCUUGAGAAAUAUUAAAUGGACUUAACUCAGAUGAACACAAUAUUGCAUGAUUGUGACAUGCCAAUCGACUCUUUGGUCUUGGAGAUUAGAAGGCAUGAAGGACGUGAUCGAGCAAGUGAACAACCAGUUUAAAGAUCUAGUAAGACUACCGGCCUCGUAGAGACUUACUACUAACCUUUUAGAGAGCCAAAUAUAUUGUAUGUAAUAAAAAUAUAAGAUAUUUAUUAUUUGACUUAACUGGCAGUUCUCUACUGCCCCUCAUGUUGUCUUUAUCAUGAUACACUAUGUUGUUAUCCUUUCGUAUUAUGACAUAGUUUUACCACUCAAUCAA